UACGUAGGUGGCAAGCGUUGUCCGGAAUUAUUGGGCGUAAAGCGCGCGCAGGCGGUCUUUUAAGUCUGAUGUGAAAGCCCACGGCUCAACCGUGGAGGGUCAUUGGAAACUGGGAGACUUGAGUGCAGAAGAGAAGAGCGGAAUUCCACGUGUAGCGGUGAAAUGCGUAGAGAUGUGGAGGAACACCAGUGGCGAAGGCGGCUCUUUGGUCUGUAACUGACGCUGAGGCGCGAAAAGCGUGGGGGAGCGAACAGG
rnacentral:rRNA from 1 species